rnacentral:lncRNA from 1 species
AAAAAAAAUAAAAUUUACAUAAUCGAUAUAGCACCACUCUAACAAUAAAAACUGAAGCAUUUGUCAGAAGUAAUAACAAAUUUAGCAAGGGUCCAAAUACCCUUGAUGAUGAAGCAUGGUAAUAAUCAAAUAUCCCGAAAUAGCAGACAGCUUAUUGACUAAAUGAAUAAUUCAAAUGUGUGUCCUGAUGCCUGAGGUUGGCUACACAAAAUAAGUUUGCCGGUGAGCCAUUUCAUCAUUCCUACUUUAUAUUGCCAAUUUGCCAUGUUUGUUUUGCCUUUCAUUCUCAUAUCCAUUGAUGAAUGAAUAAAAUGAUUAUGGAGUAUCAUACUUCUACAGAGCAUUUUAUUUAUAUUGCAACUGGUGAAUGCUGAAGUUUGAAGGUAACAUUAGUUCCUGUGCUUUACGAAAAAUCGAAAUUGAUAGCAUAUGCAACUUAGUUGCUAAGCAGUCCAAGUCUCCCUUCUGUAGCAGUCGGUGGCAAGUUGAUGCAAAUAAGAAUGCAAGCAUAUACUCUGAAAAACACUCAUAUAGUGACUCUGUGGAACAGCAGUCUUAUACUGCUUACAUACACAGUGGUAGAGCACACUCAAACCAGGCAAAAGUCAGUGAGAAGGAGCCGACACCAACAUACUUUUGUCUUGAAAGAACAUACAGACCUUUUGUAUAUUUUUCAUCCUUUACUUGACAAUAGUGUGGUGUACCAUCAUCAUGUGCUUAUUGACAACCCAAAUGUGAACUGUGAGGUACUGAUGCAAGAUUCCAACAAAUGCAAAAGAAGAGGCAUACCUGUAAGUUUGGUGUUCUUGCUGACAAGCGUCCUGUUUCAGUAUUGAUAUUUAAUGAACAGUGAAUGCGCCCUUCCUUGCAUGAUAUACGAUCUCCCUAUCAUGGAUAAAGAGCAGUCAAGACUCAAACAGUAGGUGCAACUUAGAAGUUAAGUGCAGUUAGCUGAGACUAUUGGUAUCAUGCACCAAGUAUACACCAUAGUUGUCCCUCACACAAACAACACAAGUUGGAUCAGCACCAAGACUACAGUAGUAGCACCAUUAAGCCUCAAAAUAUAUAAUCAAAACAGACCAAGUGAUCAUGGUAUAAACAAAGUAUUAAAUUAUCAAAUUAAGAUAUCAAACAGCACUAAUCGAAAGAACCAAAUUUCAAACUUGAUGGACUGAAAAUGCAUUUAACUGAAUUCCAUGCUCUCCCUACAAAAAUUGCAUGCUGACCAAAUCACCACAUUUAUGGUGCAUGCUGCAGCCCCAAAGUUUCAAGAGCGUGAGGUGAAAGAACAUUGGAGCUGUCAGGACUCAGGACACAUAACACCAGCACAAAUUGAUUUGCAUUAUCAUUUAUAAGUACAUGCAAUGAGUGAUGUCUUAAGAAUGGCAACUUCAAUCAGCAUGACUAAGAUCCUGGCUCACCUGCAAUGGAACAAUGAAGCCGGAUAUCAAUUUGUCAAUAGAAAAGACUUCACAUAGAGCAGCAAUGGCAUGACAUGCUUCCCUUCCCUUCUUUCCUCCACCAAACGCUUCAUAUGCAGUUCCAUAUGGGGAAGUGUCUUCUAUAUCCUGCUCAGGAAGUUCCAAACUGCUCCCAUCUUCAUCAAACUCUUGGCCAUCAUCAAUUUUAUAUAUAUGAUCUGUGGGUAUUUUACCAGCCAAACUCCUUAAAACGUCCCCACUGACUGAAGGCCAACCAGUCGGGGUGAACAUAUCAAUUUUAAGAUCUUCCACAAUAGUGAAAAGUUUGAUUGUGCGAGACUUUGGAGUCUUCUUGCCCUCUGUAGCUAUGCCUUCAUCAUUUGGCACUUUAAAAGUUUUACUUUGUGGCCAAGUUUCACCACGCUUAUUUCUGUGACAAAGAUUGUGAAGUUGACAAGAAUUAUACAUAAGCAAUGAUAAGCAGGUAAAUGUAAAGAAAACAAUCAUUUUUACAGGAAAUACGCACAAGCAAUAACUCACAGUUACUACUUUUUCUUUGAAAUUACAUAAAGGAAAUACCUAGCACAAAUAGAAGGCAAAGAUAGAUUCCCUCGUUUUCCACCACUUGUUGAUAUGAAGAAUUAUUCAUGUCUUGGAGUGUUGGACACACAAGAACAAUUGCUAACCAGUUUAAACCAUGCAUAGACCAAUGCAUAUAAGAACAGCAAGCAAUUAUUGGUUUUAACACAUAUUAAUGAUAUCCUUUUACAGUGGUUUCUAAAUGACAUGCAUUCAAAAAGAUAUCCUGGCAUAAAGUAUAUACAAAUCAAGCAGACAUCAAAGAGAUUAUACAAGGUGGUAGGAAUACCUAUUUUCGAUGCCACCAAAGAAAAGUUGGCGAAUUUGAUUAUCACUAUUCACAUUCAUGUACUUGGCAUCAGGACAAUGCUUAGAUGCCCAUUUCCGAAACUUAUCCGCUGCUAAUUCUCGUUCAGUAACAGCAGCUUUCUCAAUCUCCGAAAGGUAUGCACGGUCAACAAGCACUCCCUCUGUUUCCAUCUUUACAAGAAGAGCACCAAAGGGACGCCAAUACUCUUCGUAGAAAUCAUACAUUGUUCCUCUAGGACAAUCAUCGAAAAUCCAUUCCUUUGCUUCAAGCUUGUUUUUCAAGCUUUCAUAAAGCUUCAAUGUACUCAUUGAAUCUAGUGAGGAAUAGCAAAUCCACAACUCUCUAUCCUCCCUUUGUAACUUUUCGACUGGCUCGAUAGAUAUGGUUUUCCCUUCAGAUCCAUCUUUUCUAACCUUUUUCCGGCCAAAGAUAGUUUUCAUUGACACCUUCCCAGUUUUAGGUAUGUCCUUUAGAACAGCAUCCAUGACUCUGUAAUCAUUUGUUAGUCCUUCAAGUGAAUAUCCACCAUCAGUUCUCCUGGAAGAAUCCCACAGGCGUGCAAGAUGCAUCGUAUCAGCAUGAAAUCCAGCAACCUUGAUUCCACAGUUCUCAAUGACAUGGAUAUCAAAACUAUAGUUAUGCCAAACCUACAUGAUGAGGAGAAAGAACAGAUCACUUCAGACAAGCCAAGAAGAAACAAAUACGUAGUAUAAUAAUAAUUGAUGGGUAAUGACCAAUCUGUAGUUUUAUUCCGAACUGCACAGUUCAAAGAUUGAUUGAAGACUGAAUCUACUAAUUAGCAUAUUAAUUUCAUACUCCCUCUGGGCUCCAGUCACGAAAACAUGCCGUUUUGGACAUACAUUAAGUUGAACAAUCAGAACUUUGACCAUCAAUAUCUUCAAAAUAUUUAAUCUUGGUAUAUGAAACUCAUAUGUGUAUAUUUGUCACCAAAAUUACUACCCCCUCCAGUCACAAAAAAACAUCUCGUUUUGGACAUGUUUGAAGUCAAACUUUAAAAAUGUUCUUAUCAAUAUCUUUUAACUAAUUAGAUUGGACACAUGAAAAUUGUACUUGUAGAUUUUUCUCAAAAAAUACUUCCACAAUAUUAGAACUAUAUUGGGUUCUUUUAGCAUUUUGUAAUAGAACAUAGUUUUUGUGACCAGAAUAUCAUAAUAUUACAAUUUUAUAGGGUCAUACAAUUGAUACUACAAAUAUACUAUAACAUAAAUAAGUUGUCAAAGUUGUAUUUUGGGGACUGUGUCAAUGUCUAAAACAUGUUUCUUUUUUCUAAGCGAAGUAGUAGGAAAUAUGGGGCUCGGGUACGAAAAUGUGAAUCUAUUCAAUCUUUACCUAUUAUAUUAUAAAAAUUGAAGAUGAUUUUGUACUCAAAAUUUUCGUCCAUCCUCUACUCAGUUACCGCAUUAGUCUUUGACUCUUUGUACACAGCGCACGUCCGCCCUUUUUCAGUACAGCAGUACACGAGUGAGGGAAUUCUAGCUCCACCCAGCCAGGUCUUUUUCCUGCUGACCCUACCUGGGCCGGCUGUGGCUGCAUUGACCGAUCGUGAAUUCAUGGCCUACUUAGAUCAGAUGGGUCUACUGUCCCAAGCUAGCCAUGAAGCUCUUCACCUCUCUGGUGAUGAACAGUUCCCGCGUGAACAGUGGCUGAGGUGAAAGUUGUUCCCUUGUGAUUUUCAAAAAUAGAUGUUUUUUCUCCAUCUCUUCCCAUUUUUAUAAAUAUUUUAUUCAUGACUUUUUGGACCUGGUACACCACUAAUGAGUCACAUGUCACAUCAAUCCUUCUACACGGUAUCAAUCUACCAUGUGUCUUUCGGCUCUUCCCUUAGUGUAGUCCAAGUCCUCACUAUUAACUAAGAUUUACUCCAAGCCUCCUACAAAUCAAAUAGACUACCAUACCAAGAUUUUUUAUGACCUGACUCAUGUUGGUCGACGCAAGCACACAUGCGCUAUUGCACGAAAGAAAUACACUCCAUAACUUCAAAACUAAACACCAUCACCAUGUUAGAAAUGAUGUCAUUUUUUUGUUACAAUUAUAUUCAUCGAUCAUACCCACAUGAUUUCAUAGUUCAUUAGGUGAUGGACCGGUAGCUACAGCCGAGUUUAAACAGUUAAUUUUGUUCAGUUAUUUGCAAGUUGCCUUCACUCGUUGCAACGCACAGGAAUUUUUUCUAGGCAGGGAAAAAUGGAACAUAUAAAGACAGUAUGUCAGAGCACAGAAGGGUCUGUCUAAAACAGCAAUCUUAAGGUAGUCCAUUUACAUUAUCACUCUUGGGUAGGGUUUAGCAGGUAGCCAGGUAGGAUUUUGUUUUUCAUUUUUUGGUUAUAAACCCACAACUUUAUGGUGCUGACAAUCAGGUGAAAUGCAUAAUUAUAAAAUAGUGAACUAUAUCUAGUUAUUUUCAAUGUUUAGCAUAAGUUUACGAGUGAUAGGAAAUGGUGUUUAGUGCAGUUUGCUGCAACUAAGGCCUAAUCUAAAAGAAGUAAUGUAAUUAUAGUAGUAAUAGAAGAGGGAAAAGGAACUAUGGCACUAAUACAUUUCAUCCAACACAUAAAGGGAGAAGAUAACCACAAUAAAUUUACUCCAAGAUAAAUGAGGAAUCGAAGUGAACCUUUUUGAUAAAUGGGUCCUCAAAGAAAGGAGCAAACUCCAUUAGAACAUCCCUUCCACCAUCUAGCACAUCCACCCAUAUGCAUGUUUUACCAUUUCCAAAAUCAGCCUCCCCAUCAGAAUUUCCUGAACAGAUGCUAAAGCAUAUUACUUCUCCGUGACCAACUGGUGUCUCUUCUUUGACAUCAAUAUUUGCCACCUGUAUAAUAUUGUACUAUCCUAAAUUAGAAUGUAUGUUUGGAGCUUGAUACGCAAUAAAACUGUAAAUAAUUCUGAGCAAAGCUUGCUACCACAGAAGUAGACUAUGAGCAUGUCAAACCAUGUAACUAGAAGAAACCAAUAAUUAGCAUUAGCAUUUAAUAUUUUACAUUCUUCAUGACAUCUCCUGUAAACUCUGCAACUUACAUUUUCAGAGAAGAUACAUAGGGAAAAAAAGGCACAAUCUAACAACAAACACUUGAGGUCAGCAAUAAUUGAUGACCAAACAAGAUACUAUAGUAUCACCUAUCAGAAAUAUACUUCUUAUUGAUACUCUCACAAUUAUGAGGGAAAACCUAAAUAACAUAGCCAAAACUGAUAUACCGAUGAUAGAACUCAAGCAGGGUUUGGCGAAAUACCUCCGUGUCACAUGCAUGAAUAAAGCCUUUGUACUUUGUAGUAAGCAAUUUAACAACACUCCUAGCUGACUCAACAUUGUCGACAACCAAAACUUUGUCAUAGAUGGUAGCAAGCAACUUCCGUGCAUUUUUUGACUCAGUGGACAAGGAAGCUUUGUCCGGGAAAUUUGGCGUCACCUUCCUUGUAAUGCGUUUGUGCUCCUUUUUGUCUGGGAUAGCUUUAUCAACCACCAAAGUUUUCUCUGACUUGGAAACUUUAGGCAGAGAAGAUUCCAUCGUAACGGAAUCGUGCCAAGGAAUUUCCUCCUUGGAGCCAUCAAGCAUGUUCAGUGGUUUGAUAUCAUUAUUAACAACACUGAAUGGGGCAGGCACAGCAUGUGCUGACUGAUACAUCACACGAUGCUUAGCCAAAUCUGUAUCGACAUGUCUAUUUACAAUUGAAUUAGAUGGUCCUCUUUCUCUUUGAUUAUACAAGGAAGGAUAGUUUGAACUCCUGAUAUCUUCUGAGGGAUCAUGACGCAGAUUUCCAACCCGCAGAGGAGUAGUGCCAUUAGUGAUGUUGUUUCUGACACUGUUUGUGGUCCUGAGGAAAAAUAACCUCUUGGUUUCAUCAACCCAUUCUUGCACACUACUUUGUACAUUUAAGUUGCCAUACAAUCCAAGCCUGAAAGCACCGGUUUUGCUAACCCCCAUGCCUGAACUAGGAGAAUAAUCUUGCCUGCCAACGAGAACCAUUUGCAAAGUUCAGAAGCACCCAAGAUCCCAAGCAAUGUGAAAUCAUCAAGUAAUAAGGCAAAAGCGCGGCAUUCAGGAUAGUGACAGUAGAACCUAGUUACUCUUUGGCAGAUUACUAUUAUCGGGCAAUUCGUACUUCUGUAGUAAUAAUUGUAUGGCUAUAAGAAGUGGAAUGUGACUACAUAAGGAAUGCUUAGAUCUCUUAAAACAAAAUAAAAAUAUAUAUAAGGAUUAAGGAAUGCUAAUCGACACUAGCUCAAAUGAGGAGACAUAUCCGAAGUCCUACACAGUCUAGAUAAAUCAUCACAUUAGAACAUGCGAAAAAUAUGCAUACACCCAUCCAUUAACCAAAACAUCAUUUACUCCCUCCGUUUCACAAUGUAAGUCAUUCUAGCAUUUCCCACAUUCAUAUUAAUGUUAAUGAAUAUAGACAUAUAUAUUUAUCUAGAUUUAUUAACAUCAAUAUGAACGUGGGAAAUACUAUAAUGACUUACAUUGUGAAACGGAGGAAGUAUUAUUUUUCAUCACGAAUUAGGCACUACGGAACAUCUUAACAACUACUAGCAAAGAAAAAGGCUUAUGCAAUACACACAAAUAAACAGUACGGCUACCUUCCUCCCGCGGCGAAGGCCGGGCGCGACAAGUAGCGGGUGCGGCGGAAGGGAGAGGACAGCCACGGCGGCGGCCGCGGCGAAGACCCCUUCCACCGCCGUAGCUGCCGCGCCGGUGCCGGCGGCAGCGGCGGCGCCACCGCCAUGGACCUCACGAGCCGCCUCAGCUUGGACCCCGCCCGCCUCCCUCCUCCUCCUCCCGCAACGCCACCACCCACCCCGCAACCGAAGCCGCAGGGCGCCGUCUUGCACCGACGCAAGGGUAGGCCGCUGCAGCAGCAGGCGGUGGCCUCGCGGCGGCGGCGGCGGCGGCCGGAGGCGGAAGCGAGGGGAAGGAGAGAGGGUUUGGGAGACAAGGGGGACCAGGGUUUAAGCGGCGGCUGCACCUGCACUACUCGGCUUGGACCCUGGAGGCUUCGGCGGAUUACGCCUCCGUUGAAUGAAGGCGUAGAAGAACCCGUGUCUAACGAACUGAAGGCGUAAAAUCCGUUGCUCACUAUUCGUGUACAAGGCGUAUUUCUGAUUUCGAUGGUUUUAGUUGCUUAAUUAAUGUUAAAUUGAACAUCUUAACAAGGCCGGAUCCGUGGCGCAAUGGUAGCGCGUCUGACUCCAGAUCAGAAGGUUGCGUGUUCGAUUCACGUCGGGUUCAAAAUCCCCGAACCAAGUCCGGAAAUAUUUUUUUUAUUUUUCCAACAAAAUCCUUUUAUCCAUUUAUCCAUUAUAGUUUUCAGUGCUACUUUUAUUUUUUUUAGAAUCUUCAUGAUCAGAGAUUUUUUUAAAGUUCUCCUAACACGAAAGAAACACAGAUUAGAUUCUAAUGUAUACAAGCUUUGGCUUUUCUUACAUCAGUGGUGGUCUCCUAGUGCUCUUAACAACCUUCUCAUUAUAAGAAGAGGGAAGAAGCAAUAGUUUCCCCGUCAACAAGAAGUUGUACCAUCUUCUUCUCCACCAAUAUAUUCAACCAGUAAGGAAGAGUCUUGCCUUUAUUAAGAUGGUCAUAUAUGGGUAGAGAAGAAGAUAUAUACAACUUCUUGUUGAUGAAAAUUGUUGUUGUUUCCAUGUCCUUAUAAAGAGAAGGUUAUCAACAUAAGCAGGCAUUCAAAUGGUGUAAAAAAGACCACAUUAUGUAGGCACUUGAAUGUAACCUUUUACUGUUCUAGCGGUUGAACCUCCUUUUCUCCCAAAGACGUGAGACUACUAAGGGCAUGCCCAACGCAGUGACCCAGGUCGUGGGUUCAAGCUUCAGCUAGGCUCAGAUACCAUGCUUGAGGUUUGUGAGUGGCUAGAGUGCUUUCUGCAAGCCACGAGUAGCCCCGAUGAAAAGGAGGUGGUCCAAAUAAGAAAUAUGGAGAGAGAUAAAGGAGUAUGUGCGAGGAUGGACUGACUAACCAAGGGAUGCCACCACCGUCAACCAGGAAAUGUUACCGCAGUCAACCAGAUCCAGCGAGCGGUUGUUGCAGCCACAGAGGGGGACUUGACCAUGGCCUGAUCUGGUGAACAGUUGUUGCCGCCACGGAGGAGGACUUGGCCAUGGCCUGAUCUAGCAAGUACAUGGCAUCCAUCGGCUUGAGCAGCCCUGCGUCGCCACAAAGCUCAUCAACCCUAGCCACCAACGAUCUAUGCAACGAUGGAGCUCGUCACCCCAAGCCAUGGCCUGGACGUGGUCGACGGUGCCGACUAGGAAUGAGAGGAUAUUAGCGGGAGAGAAAGAGCAAGCAAUGACUGGAGAAGAGUCGUCGAGGUAUCGUUGUCUUUAAUUUGGUCGUUGAUUUGGAUGGGGGAGAAGUGAGGAGGGGGUUAGAGAGAAGGGAGGCGAGGACGAGGUGGGCAGAGGCACGGCGGUGAUGGGCUAGGGGCGCAAAGAUGGGUUUCUACGAGAGAGAGAGAUAAGGACGGGGUGGGGAAGAACGAUCUUUUCAUGGAGAGAGAGAGAGAGAGAGGGGGGGGAGAAAAGUGGGGAAAGUGUUUUUGGUAGUGGCCCCCCAAGUAUCAAUGAUUUAUGAACAAUGGUUUUGAUGGUAGUUCCAACAACUUUUGCCAACGUGAAGGUUGGAACCAUUGGUUGAGACUAUGAUACAUUGCUCAUUCCUAAUAGAACAAAAUGUCAGAUAUGCGGUGUUUAGACUCCUGAGUCAGUAAGGUAAUUAGUGGCUUAAUAAAAAGACGUGGUAAAAAUUUUAGUAGCAUAUAAGGUAUUUACCAAUAAAGAAUUGGGAAUUACUAUUGGACAUUCGCCUACUUUCUCGAUCUAUCACAAGCACAUCCCUUUUUUCCAUUAGAUUCGCACGGAGAUGUGUGGGCUGCCAGAGUUGUCUUGGCAAGCUCGUGAGCAAAAGCCACAACACCAUCUUCUCUGAUGAGUUUCUAAUAAGGAGGACGGACAUGAGGUUCCCUUGGCUUAGAGGGGAUGCCCAUAGUGGACCAAAGGGUGGUGGCUAGGUGGUGGUUUCACAGCGAAUUCAUGGACUCAAGGGUGAGACAGGUGUUAGAGGCAACGGGCAUAAACGAAAACCUAAGCAGCUAGGAGAAAAUGGGAAGCUAUGGUACACAAUGUUUUCCUCUUCCAUGAUAUAUAGAGAAUGUUGACAGAGCACGGAUAGUAGAAGGUCUUGUUGGAGCCGAGAAAUGUCACAUUACCAUUCACUCAAGCCUAUGUUUUCAUUCCAUUGGUUGAACCCUUCUCUUGAAUACGUAUGUACCACUUCUACAAUAAUAAAUAACUUGCUUUAUUUCUUCAUUCACGUGGACCACAACUCAAUUCCUGUUGCUUUGUUGUUAGCAUGAGUACUAACCCUUAUGGGAGCCCAAAAAUAUCAUGUUAAACAUAUGCUUAACUUUUUCUCAAAUGGUUGAAACACGUUGUUUACAUACAUAGGGACCAUUACUAGAAUAAUAAUAAACAACUUAUCUUGUUUCUUAUUCACGGAUCCCAUGGUUCAGCCUUCACUGCUAUUCCUCACCUAGUGCACUGCCACCUAGUUGUAAGGGAUUAUCUUACUACUACUUGAAAAGUAAUUUUAUAACGGAAGAUGCUUUACGUUGUUGGCUUAUACACCAAAUAUGUAACCUAGCCUAGAAUUAGAAAUAAAUGAAAAUAAAUCAAAUAACUUAAAACAGUGGGACAAACCCAGAACAUGCUAUAGAUAGUAAACAAGUGAAGAAGUGUCAAAAGAAAAACAAUAAAUGAGAAAACCCGAAAAACAAUAAAUGAGGAAACCCCUCCUGCUGGAAGAUACCAGCACACACUGUAGAAACACACAGCCCUGCCCCUUCAGUUGUGCUCUUCAGUUCUACAUGUAAAGUCUGCAACUCAGGAUAAACAAAUUCAUCAGCCAAUCUAAGAUAUUGGAGGAAACCAAACUAGAUAAACAGAGUUUCUAGUUUGAUUCCCUCCAAUCCUCACGUUGGGUGACCGAAUGUCAUCAUCUCUCUGAAUUUUGACUGAAUGUCUGCACCUCUCUGAAUUUUUACCAGUAUGUACGUGUAACCAUUCAAUGUGAGAUAUUAGAAGAAACUGAACCAUCCAUCUUUUGUUCCAGAUGGGUGUGAUUCAGUUCCCUCUAAUCCUCACUUUGAAUGACACAAUCGUAUUCUUCGAAAAUCUGUUCUUUAUCUGUAGGCUGUAGCUACAAGUCAAUUUGCUGAAGGUGAGAUAUUGGAGGAAAACAAGCUGAUCAGUGAUCUGCUGGAGUUGUCUGAUCAUCAGUCAGUUUGCUUUCAUCCAACUCUCACUUUCAGUGCUUGACAAACACCUCAAAACUAGCUAGAACAGUACAGCUCAGGAACAACAAAACCAUACAUGUUCAGAUGCUCCACACUAAUAACCCUGCAUUGAACUCUGAAGGAAUUGCUCUGCAGCUAGACCCAAUUUAUAGCCAUCCUGGAAAUAAGUAUAUUCCUCAGAGUUGAGAAGGGCAUUUGUUUCUGUUUCAUCUGUCCUUCACGCCCAAAAUGUGUUAUGUCCUGAAAAAGAACAAUAAGCUGUCAGACUUUGUGCUCUGUACUUUGUACUAGUGAUCCUGUACAUGCAGCUUAUUCAGAUUGUGAGUUACUGGAUGAGACCAUAUCAUCUUUUUCUCUCGGAAGACUGAAAUUCUGGCCUAAGUUUCAGGUUGUGAGGAAUGGAGGUGUCAAGAGUUAACCUCUGUACUAAUUGCACAUUGUCAUACAAGAAUAUGUAUACACUAGCUUUAAUCAGUGGAUCAAAUCACACAGGCACAUCUAGUCGUUCACACAAAUUUGUUAACUUAAGAACUCAAAAUGCAUCUCAAAGCAUGCGAAUGUGACAGGCCUACACAAUUGCUUAACGAAUGACAGCUUCUAGAGAUGAGAAGUUUUUAUUUCCUGUAAAGAUUAGCAAAUUUCCAAAAAAUUGGUUUAAGCACUACAAAUGCAGAGUUUACCGAUAGAAUACUCAUUUAGGUACAUCUCGGCAUAUACAGAACAUAAGAACAUUAGACAUCGUACUUACCAUCCGAUUCCAGAAUAGCAAGGAACAAUGUUCACCUUUAUUUUUUUUAAAUUUCUUGUGGAGGUGGUAAAAAUGUAUCACAAAUUUUGUACAAGCAGCACACAUUUACAAUUUACAGACAUUGUACAAGCCAUGCAGUGACCUAGUAAAACUGCAGCGCCAUCUAUAAAAAGAAUUCAUUGCAUGCAAUUUUUUCUCUUAUACACAUAUGCAAUGCAACGAAUUCUUUUUAUAGAUAAUGCAUAGCAAUUUAUGUAAAACGAAAAUAAAUUAUAUACUUGCAAGUGUAUACGAUAGCCAUUAGACUCAAGUUUCAUAUACACAUAUUGAAAUAACGGAAAGUACAUAUGCAAUGUUGUUUAUUCAUUUUGGUUUUCUUUUUUCUAGUGUAUAGUUGUAUACAAAUUAAGGGCAAAAGGGACAUUUUCUAACAAAAUUGUUGACUAGAAAUAGCCAUAUGGCAUAUUUAGUGAGUCCAAUGAUGAUUUUAAGCCAAAACAAAUACUAAAUACUUAGAACAGCUAUAUGGAUAAAAUGAAACUUACAGGAUCAAACUGAGUCUUUGGUGAAACUUAAGGGACUAAAUUAGUUAUUCACCCAAAGAAAAACCUCAGCAAGAAACGAAUCCACCCAAGAUCCCCCCAAAGAAACCCCCACCACUUGGCACCGCAGAACCCGCCGCCGCCGCCACCGGCUCCCUUGAAGAGGGCGUCCAGCAUGUCCCCCCCGGAUGAAAUUGGCUCUCGAGAGCAAGGCUGCAUCGUGGGGAUUCGAUCUAAAUAGCAGUAGCAGCAUCAGCGGCGACGGCGGGAGGUGGGAGAUGAUGAUGAGGUGGAGGCGGCGUCGCUGCCGGUGUACACGUAGCACCUGCUCCACUUCGGGGAGGGAUCUGGGCCGUAGAUGUGGACACGUGUACGGUGGAUGGGUGGUUUGAGUUUUUUUUUCCUAAAGAAGUUUGCAUCACCGACCGAUGCUCUAAGAGCUGGUAUAAUAGCAGACUAUAAACCAGCUAUAAACACAUGUCAAUGAGAUAAAAGAAGAGAGAAGAGCAGCGGGCUACAGAUUUAUAGCCAGCUACAACACAGAUUCCAAGAUACACGUGUGUAUGAUAAGUGGGACCAGGUAUUAAUUGUGUACUAUAUGUUAUAGGUAACUAUUGUAUGAAUUGGCUAUUAAAUUGACUAUUGGAGCCAAUAGUUGGCAAUACUAUUAAACUUUCUCCAAGUACGUUUUGAUUCCAUGAUUCCCAAAUAGAACUUAGAAGAACAUGGAUUUCGGGAAAGAUCUAAGGCAACUAUUUCAACUUAGCUGCUCCUCGAUUUCUGUUAGCAUGAUUUUUAAACUGUUAAACGGUACAUUUGAAGUAUUAAACGUAGACUAAUGACAAAACAAAUUACAGAUUCCGCCUGUAAACUGCGAGACGAAUUUAUUAAGCCUAAUUAAUCCGUCAUUACCAAAUGUUUACUAUAGCAUCAUAUUGUUAAAUCAUGACGUAAUUAGGCUCAAAAGAUUCGUCUCGCAAUUUAUAUGCAAACUAAGCAAUUGGUUUUUUUUCAUCCAUAUUUAGAUAGUGUUUGAAUCUCCUGAAGAUGAAGAUUAAGUGUUUCACGCAAAACAAGAUGAUAAUAACAUAUGAUUAAUUGAAUUUUAAUUACUACAAACUUGAAAAAUGGAUUAAUCCGACAUUUUAGAGAGCAACUUUCAUAUAGAAAGUUUUCGCACAAAACAUACCGUUUAACAGUUUGAAAAACGUACACGAGUAUCGAAAAUUUCAUCUCCUCCUUGUUAGAGAAACGAACAAGCCCUUAUUGCUUCAUGUAUGUGUCCAAACAUUUGAUGUAACGAAAUUUUUUAAAGUUUGAAGGGAACUAAACACUGCCCAAGUAUCUGAAAGUCUCAUACAGGUCAGUAUCUACUGGGGUCCCUACAGUCAAAUCCAAAUCUAACUAUCAGACAGGCUACUUCUGUACAUUCAGCUACUGCCAGUGAAAGAGUCUUCAGCCUAUUCGGCCCUCGUUGGAUGCUCUGCCUCUGCCACCGAAAAAAUGGACGUGUGAUCUUGUGUUCCUGUGGGUGAUGGGGGUGGCACUUCGAGUGCUUGAGCGGCUUUGCAUCUCUUAUCUAUGCUGGCUCAGUCCGCUGUAUUUCGUCAGGAUGGAUGGGCAGUCUUCAUCGCAUCGGCGACACAUAACUUUGGUGUCGCCUAACUUUGGGGCAGACAAAUGUGUUCAUCUGGCUAUGUAUAGGGCAGAAGAACUGAGUGUGGAUUCUACUUGGCAGCAUACCAGCUCUUCGCGUACUUGGCGUCGACAGCUAGGUCAACCUUGAGGAUGUUGGUUCCAUAGAAAGGCUUGGACAUGCACUCCACAACGAUGGCCUUGGCCUCCUCGGCAGAUUCUGUAGGCCCUUCCAAGAUCACUUCAUCAUGCACCUGGCAGAUGCAGACAUAACAUUUGAGGACAAUGUACAAAUUCAUUCUGGGGAUCAAAAUAAAAUACUCUGAAAGAACACAAAACGUAGCUCUUAAAUAUGAUGUAAAUCUUUGCUUCGCCAAAUUCUUUGAAAGAAAGAAACAAUGGUGGCCCCUUUCGUCUGUGCCUUCAAAUACCAGCCUAAGUACUUCCUUUUGUAAACGUAGGAGUGUUAUUGUCAUAAACCUGCAAUAGGAGUCUCCAACCAAGCUCCUUAAGGCGAGCGUUUCUUUCUAUCUCAAGCAUUGCACACAUAGCAACAUCUGCUGCACUGCCCUAUGUAUCACAAAAGGUAGGAUUUAGACAUCCCAAAAUUGAACAAGAACAACCAUUGUGAUACAACUAAUAGGAAUUACCUGCACUGGUGCAUUUAUAGCAGCACGCUCGACGUGACUCUUUUGACCAGGACCCGCAUGAGUCAUAUUAGGAAAUUGGCGUGAUCGCCCGAGCAAAGUGUAGACUUCGCACUUCUCAAACGCAAGGGCUUUCUGCUUCUUUUGCCAAGCUGAAAUUUCCUUUCUAUCCCUAUGCCAAAGUUUGAGUGUAUCCCUUGCUUCCCUAACUUCAACCUGCCAACACAAUAAGCUACAACUCUGGAACUGAACUGAUUGUAACAAAACAUUUACUGAAUAAUACUCCUAUGUGACAUCAUGUUGUGUACAAAAACAAGAUGAAACCCAACAAGAAAAACUGAACAAGGGAAUAUGAUAAAUGCAUGCACAAGCCUGUACAAAUAGAAGCCCAUACAUUCCAAUCCUGAGAUAGACCAACAGCAGUCUUCCCAUAUGCAAUGGAGAAAUUGAGCAUUUUGGCCUUCCUCCUCUCAGCGCCAAAAGCAUCCUAAAAAAAUAGAAAUAGAAACAUCAAGUUUGGUUUAACUCCAUACCUAUUAGUAUAUAGCCUUAUACCAUUCUACCGGGGGUCCAGAUAUAUAUAAAAAAAUAAAUACAUAUGGAAUAUGUAUGCCAAAUAACAAUUGAUAAAAAGCACUAUAUGCAACUUGCCAACUUCUUCAAAGCAGAAAGAAAACAUGAGGCCCUAACAUAUAUUUGUAUGACAAGUGAGGUUAUCAAAAUUAAAUUCGACACUUUUUUGUGUAAUGAAGUCAUGUUAUCCGACAAAUUAUGUGGAGCACUAGGCACAACUGUCACAGAAUUCACAUGUUCAAAUUUCUUUAAAAAAAAUGCAACAAAGAUAUAUUUCUCAAUAACUAAAAGAAUUAAAAUUUGACUGAAUGAACUACAAAUGAAGGUAAUCAUAUUCCAUCUUAUCACAAUAAGCAAACAGGACCAAAAUCUUACGUAAUUCAAAUGAAAUCAAAUCAAGUACAACUUCGAGAGAUAAGCUGCUGUCAGAAAAAGUUAGUGAUACUCAAGUACCUUCAAUAAUGGCACUGGGGGUUUGUCUUGACCUGGUUGAGGAUGCCAUUCAAGCAGAACUUUCUUUUCUUCAACAGCAUCACGAACAUGCUGGUACAUAUUCAUGGCUGUCCUAGAAUGAAAGUCACCACCAGCCUUGAAAGCUUCCAGCAUGCUUUUACAAUUAGUAAGAUGCGCCAAGAUCCUCAGUUCCAGCUACAUAAAAAAGGAAGACCUUUUAUCAGGUGGAACUGCUAAGUGAAGUAAAAAAAAAAAAAAACUUACUAUUGAGAACCACGAAGCAUACUUGGCCAUAAUCAGCAACAAUAAGAGUGUUCCCUGGAGCUGCGACAAAAGCUUGGCGAAUCUUGUACCUAUCCUUUUCAAGAGCAGGUUGAUUCUGCAAGGAAGAUAACUUAGUUCAAAAAAAAAUAAAAUUUACAUAAACGAUAUAGCACCACUCUAACAAUAAAAACUGAUGCAUUUGUCAGAAGUAAUAACAAAUUUAGCAAGGGUCCAAAUACCCUUGAUGAUGAAGCAUGGUAAUAAUCAAAUAUCCUGAAAUAGCAGACAGCUUAUUGACUAAAUGAAUAAUUCAAAUGUGCGUCCUGAAGCCUGAGGUUGGCUACACAAAAUAAGUUUGCCGGAUGGUGAGCCAUUUCAUCAUUCCUAAUUUAUAUUGCCAAUUUGCCAUGUUUGUUUUUCCUUUCAUUCUCCUAUCCAUUGAUGAAUGAAUAAAAUGAUUAUGGAGUAUCAUACUUCUACAGAGCAUUUUAUUUAUAUUGCAACUGGUGAACGCUGAAGUUUGAAGCUAACAUUAGUUCCUGUGCUUUAUGAAAAAUCGAAAUUGAUAGCAUAUGCAAACUAAAGCAGUCCACAAAGUAUCCCAUCUGUAGCGGUCAGUGGCAAGUUGAUGCAAAUAAGAAUGCAUGCAUAUACUCUGGAAAACACUCAUACAGUGACUCUGUGGAACAGCAGUCUUAUACUGCUUACAUACACAGUGGUAGAACACACUCAAACCAGGCAAAAGUCAGUGAGAAGGAGCCGACACCAA